UUAAGCGACUAAGCGUACACGGUGGAUGCCCUGGCAGUCAGAGGCGAUGAAGGACGUGCUAAUCUGCGAAAAGCGUCGGUAAGGUGAUAUGAACCGUUAUAACCGGCGAUGUCCGAAUGGGGAAACCCAGUGCAAUUCGUUGCACUAUCGUUUGAUGAAUACAUAGUCAAACGAGGCGAACCGGGGGAACUGAAACAUCUAAGUACCCCGAGGAAAAGAAAUCAACCGAGAUUCCCCCAGUAGCGGCGAGCGAACGGGGAGCAGCCCGGAGUCUGAAUCAGCUUGUGUGUUAGUGGAAGCGUCUGGAAAGUCGCAGGGUACAGGGUGAUACUCCCGUACACUAAAACACACAGGUUGUGAACUCGAAGAGUAGGGCGGGACACGUGGUAUCCUGUCUGAAUAUGGGGGGACCAUCCUCCAAGGCUAAAUACUCCUGACUGACCGAUAGUGAACCAGUACCGUGAGGGAAAGGCGAAAAGAACCCCGGCGAGGGGAGUGAAAAAGAACCUGAAACCGUGUACGUACAAGCAGUAGGAGCCCACUAGUUGGGUGACUGCGUACCUUUUGUAUAAUGGGUCAGCGACUUAUAUUCUGUAGCAAGGUUAACCGAAUAGGGGAGCCGCAGGGAAACCGAGUCUUAACUGGGCGUUAAGUUGCAGGGUAUAGACCCGAAACCCGGUGAUCUAGCCAUGGGCAGGUUGAAGGUUGGGUAACACUAACUGGAGGACCGAACCGACUAAUGUUGAAAAAUUAGCGGAUGACUUGUGGCUGGGGGUGAAAGGCCAAUCAAACCGGGAGAUAGCUGGUUCUCCCCGAAAGCUAUUUAGGUAGCGCCUCGUGAACUCAUCUUCGGGGGUAGAGCACUGUUUCGGCUAGGGGGUCAUCCCGACUUACCAACCCGAUGCAAACUACGAAUACCGAAGAAUGUUAUCACGGGAGACACACGGCGGGUGCUAACGUCCGUCGUGAAGAGGGAAACAACCCAGACCGCCAGCUAAGGUCCCAAAGUCAUGGUUAAGUGGGAAACGAUGUGGGAAGGCCCAGACAGCCAGGAUGUUGGCUUAGAAGCAGCCAUCAUUUAAAGAAAGCGUAAUAGCUCACUGGUCGAGUCGGCCUGCGCGGAAGAUGUAACGGGGCUAAACCAUGCACCGAAGCUGCGGCAGCGACACUAUGUGUUGUUGGGUAGGGGAGCGUUCUGUAAGCCGUUGAAGGUGGCCUGUGAGGGUUGCUGGAGGUAUCAGAAGUGCGAAUGCUGACAUAAGUAACGAUAAUGCGGGUGAAAAACCCGCACGCCGGAAGACCAAGGGUUCCUGUCCAACGUUAAUCGGGGCAGGGUGAGUCGACCCCUAAGGCGAGGCCGAAAGGCGUAGUCGAUGGGAAACAGGUUAAUAUUCCUGUACUUGGUGUUACUGCGAAGGGGGGACGGAGAAGGCUAUGUUGGCCGGGCGACGGUUGUCCCGGUUUAAGCAUGUAGGCGGAUGUUCCAGGUAAAUCCGGAACGUCACUAACGCUGAGGUGUGAUGACGAGGCACUACGGUGCUGAAGUGACAAAUGCCCUGCUUCCAGGAAAAGCCUCUAAGCAUCAGGUAACAUCAAAUCGUACCCCAAACCGACACAGGUGGUCAGGUAGAGAAUACCAAGGCGCUUGAGAGAACUCGGGUGAAGGAACUAGGCAAAAUGGUGCCGUAACUUCGGGAGAAGGCACGCUGAUGGUAGGUGAAGUGACUUGCUCAUGGAGCUGAAAUCAGUCGAAGAUACCAGCUGGCUGCAACUGUUUAUUAAAAACACAGCACUGUGCAAACACGAAAGUGGACGUAUACGGUGUGACGCCUGCCCGGUGCCGGAAGGUUAAUUGAUGGGGUUAUCCUCACGGAGAAGCUCUUGAUCGAAGCCCCGGUAAACGGCGGCCGUAACUAUAACGGUCCUAAGGUAGCGAAAUUCCUUGUCGGGUAAGUUCCGACCUGCACGAAUGGCGUAAUGAUGGCCAGGCUGUCUCCACCCGAGACUCAGUGAAAUUGAACUCGCUGUGAAGAUGCAGUGUACCCGCGGCAAGACGGAAAGACCCCGUGAACCUUUACUAUAGCUUGACACUGAACACUGGUCCUUGAUGUGUAGGAUAGGUGGGAGGCUUUGAAGUGUGGACGCCAGUCUGCAUGGAGCCAUCCUUGAAAUACCACCCUUUAAUGGCUGGUGUUCUAACGUGGGCCCCUAAUCGGGGUUGCGGACAGUGUCUGGUGGGUAGUUUGACUGGGGCGGUCUCCUCCUAAAGAGUAACGGAGGAGCACGAAGGUCAGCUAAUCCUGGUCGGACAUCAGGAGGUUAGUGCAAUGGCAUAAGCUGGCUUGACUGCGAGCGUGACGGCGCGAGCAGGUGCGAAAGCAGGUCAUAGUGAUCCGGUGGUUCUGAAUGGAAGGGCCAUCGCUCAACGGAUAAAAGGUACUCCGGGGAUAACAGGCUGAUACCGCCCAAGAGUUCAUAUCGACGGCGGUGUUUGGCACCUCGAUGUCGGCUCAUCACAUCCUGGGGCUGAAGUAGGUCCCAAGGGUAUGGCUGUUCGCCAUUUAAAGUGGUACGCGAGCUGGGUUUAGAACGUCGUGAGACAGUUCGGUCCCUAUCUGCCGUGGGCGCUGGAGAAUUGAGGGGGGCUGCUCCUAGUACGAGAGGACCGGAGUGGACGCAUCACUGGUGUUCGGGUUGUCAUGCCAAUGGCAUUGCCCGGUAGCUAAAUGCGGAAGAGAUAAGUGCUGAAAGCAUCUAAGCACGAAACUUGCCCCGAGAUGAGUUCUCCCUGACUCCUUGAGAGUCCUGAAGGAACGUUGAAGACGACGACGUUGAUAGGCCGGGUGUGUAAGCGCAGCGAUGCGUUGAGCUAACCGGUACUAAUGAACCGUGAGGCUUAACCUU
rnacentral:rRNA from 1 species